rnacentral:rRNA from 1 species
CCUACGGGUGGCUGCAGUGGGGAAUAUUGGACAAUGGGCGAAAGCCUGAUCCAGCCAUGCCGCGUGUGUGAAGAAGGCCUUCGGGUUGUAAAGCACUUUCAGUGGGGAAGAAAGCCUUGGGGCUAAUACCCUCGAGGAAGGACAUCACCCACAGAAGAAGCACCGGCUAACUCCGUGCCAGCAGCCGCGGUAAUACGGAGGGUGCGAGCGUUAAUCGGAAUUACUGGGCGUAAAGCGCGCGUAGGCGGUCUGAUAAGCCGGUUGUGAAAGCCCCGGGCUCAACCUGGGAACGGCAUCCGGAACUGUCAGGCUAGAGUGCAGGGGAGGAAGGUAGAAUUCCCGGUGUAGCGGUGAAAUGCGUAGAGAUCGGGAGGAAUACCAGUGGCGAAGGCGGCCUUCUGGACUGACACUGGCGCUGAGGUGCGAAAGCGUGGGUAGCAAACAGGAUUAGAUACCCCAGUAGUC